rnacentral:rRNA from 1 species
CUACGGGUCGCAGCAGUGAGGAAUAUUGCACAAUGGGGGGAACCCUGAUGCAGCAACGCCGCGUGGAGGAUGACGCAUUUCGGUGUGUAAACUCCUUUUAUAUGUCAAGAAAAUGACGGUAGCAUAUGAAUAAGCACCGGCUAACUCCGUGCCAGCAGCCGCGGUAAUACGGAGGGUGCAAGCGUUACUCGAAAUCACUGGGCGUAAAGGACGCGUAGGCGGGUUGGAAAGUCAGGUGUGAAAUCCUACAGCUUAACUGUAGAACUGCACUUGAAACUUCUAAUCUAGAGUAUGGGAGGGGGAGAUGGAAUUAGUGGUGUAGGGGUAAAAUCCGUAGAUAUCACUAGGAAUACCUAAAGCGAAGGCGAUCUCCUGGAACAUUACUGACGCUAAGGCGUGAAAGCGUGGGGAGCAAACAGGAUUAGAUACCCCGGUAGUC